UGGGAUAGCGGAACCCAGUGCCCAAUCACUCUCUUUCUCCCUCGACGAAAACGGAAAAUCCCUUUCCAUAAGAUCCUCUGCGAAUCCCCUGCCAAUAUCUUGCCGGCGGCUCCAUCUUUUAGGUUUGGCUUAUUGAAGUGAACCUUUCGAAAACAGGAAUCCCUGUCAGUAUCUUCAUAUGGAUCCAGAGGCUUCACAGACUGCCCGAGAAUCUCUGGACCUGACAUUUCACAUGUCGAACAUUCUUGAAACAGGACUUGAUCGCCACACCGUUUCAGUCCUCGUUGCUCUCUGUGACCUGGGUCUGAACCCUGAGGCACUGGCUGCUGUCGUCAAGGAACUUCGAAGAGAACCAUUUUCCUCUUUCUCAAUGCCAGAAACUCCAUCAUCUGCUUCGUAGACAGGUUUGUGGUGUCAUUUGCUAACUGCCAGAGAAAAGAAAUUGUAGUUCACCAUUGUUUCAAGCAGUGUCGUAGAACAGGGCAUCUUCCACUUUAUGCGAUCUGCAUUAUUGUAGUGACUAUGCUCUGCAUACUCACCAAGCAUGUAGGGGCCGAUGUAUUUUAAGUCUAAGAGCUUAUAUUCUCCCGAGUCAUAUCUUCUGUUAUGUAUUGCUUGUUCAGUUCCUUCCUUAUUAGUAGUAUUACCUUCUAACACUGUAGGAGGCACAACAAAGAAGAAAUGUAUUAGUCUCUCUCUCUCA